GAGUGAACGAACAUCUGAAGC
ensembl:piRNA 21ur-730 ncRNA